rnacentral:lncRNA from 1 species
UUUAGGUAAAACAAAAACAAGCAAGUUCAGGAGUAUUAUUUGGAGAUGAUGUGUUAACAUUGAUGGUGGAACCUCAUGUGGAUCAAUCAUUAGUUAUGGCUCUUGUAACUGUUUGUGGUUUAAUCCAUCACAGAAUUUGAUUAGUGGUAUAAUUAAGAGUAAUUAAUAAGUUUAGUUUCAUCCUAGUCACUUUCUCUAUAUGUUAUAAAAAAAUAAUUGUAAUCUCUAUCUUCCUUUGUUCUUGAAAUAGGGAAAAGAGAAAUUAAUUAUGGUUUGUACUACCUUGAGGUAUGAGUUGUUUAGAUGUAAUGUUGUGAUGAAUAUUAAUGUGUACAAUCUAAUUACUUCGAUAGAAACACUUUGUUCAGACUAGUUUGUACGCACUUUGGCUAUUUCAUCAACACAAAUAUCACAUUAAUAAUUCUACUCAAGAAAGCUUAAUCGCUAAAAAAAAAUUAGUGAUGGACAAAAUAUUAUAAAUGAUUAAUAACAAAAUUCACAUAGUUAUAUGAUUAUAUCUAUUACUUUCAGAUAAAACUGGUAUCCUACAAAUUAAAUAUAUAAGUUUCUGUGAUAACAAUAAUAAUAUAUUUAGUGUAACUUCAUAAAAUAAUAUUGAGGAGGACGGUGUGUAUGCAACCUUAUUCCUAUCUUAUGAAAAUAGAGAGAGCAUUUAUGUUGGACUCUUGGCUCUAAUAAAGCAUAACUAAAAUUAAAAACAAUACCAAGUAGCGCCAACAAAUAAUAGAUAAUCUAAGCAAAGAAAAUAGCAGGCAAUAAAAAAAAAACUAGGAGAAAAAAAAUACUAGUACCACUGAUAAAGGAAAUUACAUCGCGACUACCUACUAAUCUUCUAGUUUAAUCCCUGACCUCCACAUCCUCCUAUAUUGAGUCAUGUCCUCGUCUCCUUGGUAAGUUGCAGGUAUUUUAAGUCAUGUCUAAUCAAUUUUUCCUAAUAUUUUUUCGGCCUACCUUUACCUCGGUCUCCUCAGACCCACCAAAAGCAACCAAUCACGCAACUCCUCACUGGGGCAUCAAUCUGAUCAUCUCCUCAUCAUUACAUAUCUGAAUCAUCUCAAUCUCGCUUCACUUAUCUUAUUCAUCAUAGAGGCCAUACACAUCUUGUCCCAAAUAUCUUCGUUUCUGAUCUUAUCUCGCCUAGUAUAUCCACAUAUUUUUCUCAACAUCUCCAUUUCCGUUAUUUUUAUUUCCUAAACAUACACGCGAAUUCUAUAUCGUAGACAAUAACGUUAAUUUUCACGAUAUGUAAUCAUUUAUAUCAUUAGGAGUGUGUAAAACCGAACCGACCGAUAAACUGAACCGAAAAAGUGUUAUUGGUUUAUUGCUAUUGGGUUGGCUUAGCGAUUUCUUAAUGGUUUUGUAAAAUAAAUUAUCGGGUUAUCGGUUCAGUAUUGGUUUUCAAUAUUGGGUUAUUGGGUAAAACCGAUAGCCAUUAAAAGUUAAGACUAUAGUAAUUUACUACUUUUACAUAUACAUACAUAAUAGUAAAUAUUAAUCUCAAUAUCUUAAUAGUUAUGUCUUUGUCAUUUAGCCAUCAAUUCAUACUUCGUUGUGACUUUGAGUUCACAAUUUACAUUAUACAAAUCAUCAAAACCUAAAGUAAGAACCAUAUUCCUCUUGAUUUCUCUUUGUGUUACACGUGUAUAGUUCUUUUCAUGUUUGUUAUUGUUAUUUCUAUUUUAUAAGCUUUUGUAAAGUUACAUUAUUGUCUUGUCGUGCCAAAUUUAUUAGAGAAGUCAUAUAUUUGUUUUAUGAGCAUUUUCUUAUUGGUUAAAUCGAAAAUCGAACCGUUAAAGACCAAAAUCGAUAAACCGAAAACCGAUAAAAAAUUAUCUUAUUGGUUCGUUAUUGGUUUAGCGUAUUUAAAAACCGAAAAUCAAUAAACCGAACCGAACCGACCGAUGAACACCCAGUAUAUCAUAGUCUAAAACCCGUGAUGUAUAUUUUCAAUAACAUAAAGUAGUUGACUAGUUGUCCAAAUCUCUAUUCAUUGCCAUCUAUAAUUAGUAUAUAUUAAUUCUCUUCAAUUGCAUGUGUACCUAUAAAUGUUUUUAAAAAAAAACAAUAGUACGUACACUCUCUUGGGACAAAUUAAUUAAGUCAAAUGAACAUGUAUUAAUAUACUUAUUCCUUUUAUUUAGCGAAGUGGUUCGAAUUUAUCUUUUUUUCAUAACGCACAAUACCAUUGUAAGAAAAAAAAAGAUGAAAAUAAUCCUAAUCACGUAUAUAUUCUUAUAUUUAAACAGUUAAAAAGAUAAAAGAAAGCACAAUAAAGUAAAGAUAAUGGAAUAUUAAUUCAUAUCCUACCAGUUUAUGAGUCGGAAUUAUACUUAAUGCUCUUCAGUCUGUAUCGAUAUAUUCACUUCUAUGUGUGAAUUGCACUAAUUUUUUAUUCUUCCGUCCUAAUUUACGUGGUAUCGUUCAAAUUUUUUAACUUUAUCAUUCAUUCGAACAUAGAAUUUUAAGUUCUUUAAAAUAAAAAAUAUAUAUUUUAAUAAUAUAUAAAAAGUACUACAAGUCACGAUAUUAGUUAUUUAAACUAUUAAAAAGCUUAUGAAUAAAUAACAAUAAAAGAAUAAUUCGUUUAAAUCUCAAUAGUUGAAUGAUACAACAUAAAUUAGAACAACGGGAGUAUCUUUUUUGAACUUACGGCAAUAUUUUGAUCAAUUUUUAUGUGCCUCAAACUAUUUUAACGAAUAUCUUCUAGAUUCAUUAGCGUAAGUAUCGAAACUAAUCUGCACGUGCAGCUAAUUACAAUAAAAAUAACUUUUAGCGGCAAUAAUAUACACUAAUGAUUGCUAGAGUCUUUACCGACAUUAGUUAAGUGUCAUUAGAUCUAAUGUCACUAAGGGGUCGUUUGGUGUGAGGGAUAAUACCAAAUAGUCCCGGGAUUAAAUUAUAGUACCGCUUAUUUUGUUGUUUGGUUGGCAAGUUCGGGAUAACUUAUCCCGGGAUUAAUAAUUAGUACCGGGAUAAGUUAUCCCUAACCUAGGGUGGUAUAGUAAUCCCGGGAUAACUUAUCCCGGGAUAAAAUAGGUAAAUGACAAAAAUGUCUCUUUCAACCCUUUUGUUAUAUCACUUUUUUACAUUAAUGAAGGGCAUUUUUGUAAACAAAUAAAUUGUUCUUAAAAUUUAUUAUUUUGAAUACAACAAACCAAACACCCAAUAAAAAAUAAUCCCAACACAACUUAUCCCAUCAUAACUAAUCCCAACAUAAACUUAUCCCAACAUAACUUAUCCCAUCAUAACUCAUUUUUCAAACCAAACGACCCCCUAAAGGUUUUUAGGGACAUAUACAAAGAGUGUUAAUUACCGCUAAAAAUACAUAUUUAGCAGCAAUAUUUAAGUUAUUACCGCUAAAGAUCAUUAUUAAUAUAGUGAGUGUCAAUUAAAGACGUAACUACAUUUUUCAAUUUUUUGUAGUUUCUCCAUAAAAAUCACCAUUAUAUAAAAUAAUGGGUCUUGAUUUUAAAUAUAUAAAAAAGUGAGACUCAAUGUGAGUGUUAUUAAAAACGUUAGGAAAAAUUGAAAAUUAUUCGAAAUUAAGUUAUAUAUAAUCUAAACUUCACGUAAAAAGUAAUGUUCGAAAUUGCUUGCUUUCAAGUUCUUUGAAGUGAGACUUUAACAAGCCAAACUUCAUAUACAUAUAAACUUUAGAAUUCAUGUGCCUCAAGUUGAUUUUAAACGAUCACGAUUGCAAAAUUUUAAAAACUAUAGAUAUGGCUUAAUUAGAUGAGAGCUUUCUCUUCGCUCGAUAUCGAGUAAUUCUAUCAACAAUUAUUUUUUUUGUACUAGUCAGAAAACUCUUCUAUAAUUUUUUGUUUGGUACAAUAAUAACAUGUGUCUUAGAAAUUAUAAAAUGGAUUAGCAUCUUUUGACUUCUUUUAAGUCUUCCCUAUAAUUCCUUAAUUUGUUUUAAAUUGUGAUUUUGGCACAUUGAUUCUACUACUACUAAACUAAACACAAAUAAUGCAGGAGAAAGAGGGUCAAUUAAAUCAAAUAUUCCUAUAUUCCACUCUUUUAUCAAUACUUUAUUAACAAUGUAUUUAAGAAAAAAUAUUCUUUUAUUUUUGUCAAAUCAAUGGAUAUAUAUAAUACUUAUGCAAUACUCCAAUUAUGUAGUGCAAAAUGAAACUUCGAACACCAUACUAGCUAGGUGUUAAAUAAGCAACUUAGUUUCAAUUUGGAUGAAUUAAAAUGAUCGAGUUAAUAAACGAGCAGAUUAUUACUUUUUUAAAAAGUUAUGAACUUGAAUUAAAAUGAAUUGAGCUUAAAUUGGCUAAAAUGCAUGUCAUAAUUCAAUCCACACAACUCUUCCCAAGUUUUAAUCCUUUAUUUGUUCUUUGAUACUUUUUAAUAUCUAAUAAAAUUAUCUUUUUUACUAUGAAUAUAUAUAUAUAUAUAUAUAUACACACAAAAUUACUCAUAAAUCAAUUUGGACUACAUGUCAGCCCAAUAUUUCUCAAACCUUAAAAAGUAGGAAACCCUCUUCCCUUUCUUUUAUUUAUUAUUAGGAUAAUUUAAUUAUAAAAUUUGAAUACUUGAUUAUACAGUAUAGAAUAUUUAAUAUUAUGUUAUAAAUAUUUAUGUUCCACUAAAAAAUUUAAAAUGAUGGGCCGAUCCACCCAGCCCACAUGGUUAACCAUUCCGAAACCCGUCAAAAUGUUAGGUCAAUCCAGCCCAACCUAUUAAAUAUUUAAGGAAGGCGUGAAAAGGAUAGACUGAAGUCGAUCCAUAUUAACAGCUCUACGUAAUUCUUCUCUUUGAUCCGUCCUCGUCGACUUACCCUCACAAUCUACAGCUAGCUAGAAGAUGCUUAGAACUCCCAACACUUGGAAAAAAGUAUAAGCAUCUAAAAUAAAUAAUUUAUUUUUUAGCGGUUAGUAUUAAGUUAGUUAGCCAAAAAGAAAACUACCACUUCAAUUAAGUGCAACACAGCAAAUACCACUAACACAAAUGUAUACCAUAUGCUAUAAAUAUGCCAACCGUCAAUUCUCAUAAAUAUAAAUAUAAAUUUUGCAUAUAUUCUCUUCUUUCUAUCCUUUUCUAAUACGGAAUCUAAAAAUUGGGAUGACAUCAACAUUAGUGUGGUCUAGCAAUCAAUUAUCAACGUACGUUGCAAUUAGAACACCAACUAAUACAUUUUGAAAUACAAAUAUACAUAUUUUGACAAAAGUCGAACACACAAUUUUCCAACAGGAGAUAGAGGGUGCUUGUCAUCCGAGCAAUCCUUCUGGUCGACCUAUCGAAUACUACUGUAAAAAUAAUUAAUAAAACGAGUUAAGUUUAUAUUUGCAUGUUAGUUAACACUAGCCAGAAGGAAGUGACUAAGAAAGUGGAGAACUUUAGUUGUACAUAUUAUGCUCUAUUACCUUUGUUGAUUCCUUUUAUCAAGUCGGUCCGCUAACGCCUUUAUCUAUCUUAUUUAUAAGCCACAACCUACUUCGACAAGUAUAUAUAAAUAUUGUGUUCUAGUGUCCUCUCUCACCUCAAAAUAUUUCCAACUCCUUCUCUAAAUUAAGCCUAUUAAUAUUUCAAUGGCUAAAGUUCACCCAAACAAGUCAAAUUAUCUUAGUACAACUUCUUCAUCAUCAUCUUUUUCUUCUAUUUCAUCUAACUUUUAUGUGAGUCCAAGAAGAGAAACAUUCACUUUGUGGAUGAAAUCUCUAGUGUACCAUGGAAAUGGAUGUACUGUUUAUGACUCAAAUGGAAAAAUUGUUUAUAGAAUUGACAAUUACAACAUUAAACGUAGCAAACAAGUUCAUCUCAUGGAUUCCAAUGGCAAAGUUCUCUUCUCUAUUCGAAAUAGGGUAAGUACCCUUUCACCUGUUUAUUUACUUAAUUAUAUUUUCAACGAUACUGACAUAUUAUUAUUAUUAUUAUUUUGAACAGAAAGUUCCUGUAUUUGGACAUUGGGAUGGUUAUAAAUGGAGUUAUGAUGGAGUUACUAGUAAAGAAAUACCAUGGUUUCAAGUGAAGAAAAUUCACAAUGUUCUUAGAGAAGUUAAUGUGAACUAUUAUAAUGUUAUAUUAGGAUGUAAUUCUGAAGCAAGUUGCUAUAACAUUAUCCUUACCACAAAAUCUAUCAAGAUUGUGAACCAACAUGGCAGACUUGUCGCUGAGGUAAUUAAUCUGUCAGAUCACCUAAAAGAUAACUAUUGUUCGUAAAGGAGAUGAGUUAAGUUAUUUUACUAAUAGUGUUAGUGAAUUUGUGUUUAUUUUCAGGUAAAACAAAAACAAGCAAGUUCAGGAGUAUUAUUUGGAGACGAUGUAUUAACAUUGGUGGUGGAACCUCAUGUUGAUCAAUCAUUAAUUAUGGCUCUUGUCACUGUUUGUGGUCUAAUCCAUCACAAAAUUUGAUUAGUACUUAUUAAUUAGUAGUUUAGUAGUACAAAUAUAAGUUUCUUCCUAGUUACUUCUUCUAAUGUAAUAAUAAUUGUA